rnacentral:rRNA from 1 species
UACGUAGGGUGCGAGCGUUAAUCGGAAUUCCUGGGCGUAAAGCGUGCGCGGGCGGUUCUCCAAGUCCGUUGUGAAAGCCCCGGGCUCAACCUGGGAAUGGCAGUGGAAACUAGGGGACUGGAAUCUGGCAGAGGGGGGUGGAAUGCCGCGUGUAGCAGUGAAAUGCGUAGAGAUGCGGCGGAACACCGAUGGCGAAGGCAGCCCCCUGGGCUGAGAUUGACGCUCAGGCACGAAAGCGUGGGGAGCAAACAGG